GAUGAACGCUAGCGGCAGGCCUAACACAUGCAAGUCGAGGGGUAGCAGGAUUAAGCUUGCUUAAUUGCUGACGACCGGCGCACGGGUGCGUAACGCGUAUGCAACCUACCUUAUACUGGGGUAUAGCCCGGAGAAAUUCGGAUUAAUCCCCCAUAGUACUAAUGAAUCGCAUGGUUUAUUAGUUAAAGCAUUGCGGUAUAAGAUGGGCAUGCGUCCUAUUAGCUAGAUGGUGAGGUAACGGCUCACCAUGGCUACGAUAGGUAGGGGGCCUGAGAUGGUGGUCCCCCACACGGGUACGGAGAAACGGCCCAGACUCCUACGGGAGGCAGCAGUGAGGAAUAUUGGUAAAUGGGCGCAAGCCUGAACCAGCCAUGCCGCGUGCAGGAAGAAUGCCCUAUGGGUUGUAAACUGCUUUUAUUUGGGAAUAAACCUCUUUACGUGUAGAGAGCUGAAGGUACCAAAUGAAUAAGCACCGGCUAACUCCGUGCCAGCCGCCGCCGUAA
rnacentral:rRNA from 1 species